UACGUAGGCAGCAAGCGUUGUUCGGAAUUACUGGGCGUAAAGAGUGUGUAGGCGGUGCUCUAAGUUCGUUGUGAAAUCUCCCGGCUUAACUGGGAGGGUGCGGCGGAAACUGGGGUGCUUGAGCGCGGGAGAGGAAAGCGGAAUUCCUGGUGUAGCGGUGAAAUGCGUAGAUAUCAGGAGGAACACCUGUGGUGUAGACGGCUUUCUGGACCGUAGCUGACGCUGAGACACGAAAGCGUGGGUAGCAAACAGG
rnacentral:rRNA from 1 species